rnacentral:lncRNA from 1 species
ACUUGGACCCCAUAUGUCCGAGUGAACAACUUCAAACAUAGAGGAUGACCUAUUAUUGACAUGCUUUGGGAAAGAAGCACGAGUGUGUUUCCCAAGCUGACAUGACUCACAUUCUAACAAAGAUAAACUAGAUAGACUGAGGACCAUUUUCUGCAGCCCAAGCUGACAUGACUCACAUUCAAACAAAGAUAAAUUAGAUAGACUGGGGACCAUUUUCUACAACUUUGAAAGACUUGGAUGUCCCAAUUGACGAUGAAGUAAAUCGGAGGAAAUAGCGGAAGUGAAGGCAACUGGUGGUUUUGGAAUAGAUAGUUUAUAUAGACCGUGUGACUCAUGUCCUCUUCCAAUCACCUGUCCCGUACUCCGAUCCUGCACAACAAAAUCCUCAGAGAAGAUUACAAGACACUUGAGGUUCUUCGUUAAUUUACUAAUGGAAAUAAGAUUAUACGGACACUCAAGUACAAAAAGAACCGAGGUUAAAGGUAAAGAAGGUAGAGAGUGAGUUGCACCUAUUUCUUUGAUAGCAGCCUUUGAUCCAUUAGCUAAGGUAAUAGUAGAAAAGACAGAUGGAGACUUAAGGACAGAAAGAAGAUUUCGGUUACCAAAUAUAUGAUCAGUAGCACCGGAGUCAAAAAUCCAUGGUCCAGGAAAGGAAGACUGUGCGAUACAAGCAAAAGAGUUACCAGGUUGCACUGUGCAAGCUGUAGAUGAGGUAGAUGACUGUUGCUUUGAUGCCUGCUACUGA